CGGAGGGUGCAAGCGUUAUCCGGAUUCACUGGGUUUAAAGGGUGCGUAGGUGGGCAAGUAAGUCAGUGGUGAAAUCCCCGGGCUUUAACCCGGAAACUGCCAUUGAUACUAUUUGUCUUGAAUACUGUGGAGGUCAGCGGAAUAUGUCAUGUAGCGGUGAAAUGCUUAGAUAUGACAUAGAACACCAAUUGCGAAGGCAGCUGGCUACACAAAUAUUGACACUGAGGCACGAAAGCGUGGGGAUCAAACAGGAUUAGAUACCCUGGUAGUCCACGCCCUAAACUAUGGAUACUCGACAUUUGCGAUAAACUGCAAGUGUCUGAGCGAAAGCAUUAAGUAUCCCACCUGGGAAGUACGAUCGCAAGAUUG
rnacentral:rRNA from 1 species